rnacentral:rRNA from 1 species
UACGUAGGGUGCAGGCGUUGUCCGGAAUUAUUGGGCGUAAAGAGCUCGUAGGCGGUUUGUCGCGUCUGCUGUGAAAACUCGGGGCUUAACCCCGGGCCUGCAGUGGGUACGGGCAGACUAGAGUGCGGUAGGGGAGACUGGAAUUCCUGGUGUAGCGGUGAAAUGCGCAGAUAUCAGGAAGAACACCGGUGGCGAAGGCGGGUCUCUGGGCCGUAACUGACGCUGAGGAGCGAAAGCGUGGGGAGCGAACAGG